UUUUAAUUGUGAAUAUACACUUUAAGUUUAAGCGUAAAGUGAUUCUAAGAGUGGUAGAUUUAAGUAAAACGUGUUUCAUUUUAAAAUUUGUAUCAAAUAUAUAGUAUAAUGCUUUAUACAACAUCAAAAAAAACGUGCCCAUAAAAACAUAAAACUACGGCCUAUAUUGUACAUUUUGAAAUGUCUACACAUAGCAGGGCAUUUGUUGAUCCACAGACAUAUCCACAUCCCUCAGAAGCACCUAAUAUCAAAACAGAUCAAAUAAACCAUCAAAAGACAUGCAUAUAUAAGUACAUAAUAAUAACAUACAUACAUACAUAAACACAUAUAGUAUACACUCACAAAGAACAUCAUAGUAAGGAAAUGAGAGAGAUCCAUCUACAGAAAUUUAAAUGUACACGUGAAGCCACAUUUGAACACAUUUUUAUUUGUACGAUCAAAUCAAAUAAAAAUACAAUUGCAAUGACAAUGACCAGUCGUCUGAACAUCUACAAACGAAUCAACAAGACUGAUCAACAUUAUUCUACACCUUUACACUCGUAUAUUGGAGAAGUGCUGGACUACGUUAUAUGAGAUGAAAUUUAACUGCUGGUUAGCAAAACACAUAAACAAAUUUUGAUUUCAUACUCGGACUUAGAUAUACUUGUGCUUUAUGAUUGAAAGAAAGAUAAAAUAAGUUGUAGAGAGAGAGAGAGAGAGACAGAGAGAGAGAGAGAGAGAGAUAAUGCACAAUUUAUAUGUGAUUGAACCUUUAAGAGCGUCUCUCAAUUUUAUACUUUACCACCGGAUUGAACUUAAGCUUAUAUCUGAAGCACCUCACGGACUAUGACCUUAUACCCAGAUUGAACUUUAGAGCAACGCGCUAUUGAGCAUCAGCUAUUGUCUUUCCUUGAUGCGGCAUGAAGAGAGUUGGGUUCCUGUUGUUGCAGCUCAUUAACGAGUUGAGCCUCAAAUCAAUUCUCGAAGAGCUCCCGCAGCAGCUAUAG